rnacentral:rRNA from 1 species
AGUGAACGCUGGCGGUAGGCCUAACACAUGCGAGUCGAACGGCAGCACAGUAAGAGCUUGCUCUUACGGGUGGCGAGUGGCGGACGGGUGAGGAAUACAUCAGAAUCUACUUUUUCGUGGGGGAUAACGUAGGGAAACUUACGCUAAUACCGCAUACGACCUACGGGUGAAAGCAGGGGAUCUUCGGACCUUGCGCGAUUGAAUGAGCCGAUGUCGGAUUAGCUAGUUGGCGGGGUAAAGGCCCACCAAGGCGACGAUCCGUAGCUGGUCUGAGAGGAUGAUCAGCCACACUGGAACUGAGACACGGUCCAGACUCCUACGGGAGGCAGCAGUGGGGAAUAUUGGACAAUGGGCGCAAGCCUGAUCCAGCCAUACCGCGUGGGUGAAGAAGGCCUUCGGGUUGUAAAGCCCUUUUGUUGGGAAAGAAAAGCAGCAGGUUAAUACCCCGCUGUUCUGACGGUACCCAAAGAAUAAGCACCGGCUAACUUCGUG